GUAGGGGGCAAGCGUUGUCCGGAAUAAUUGGGCGUAAAGGGCGCGUAGGCGGCUCGGUAAGUCUGGAGUGAAAGUCCUGCUUUUAAGGUGGGAAUUGCUUUGGAUACUGUCGGGCUUGAGUGCAGGAGAGGUUAGUGGAAUUCCCAGUGUAGCGGUGAAAUGCGUAGAGAUUGGGAGGAACACCAGUGGCGAAGGCGACUAACUGGACUGUAACUGACGCUGAGGCGCGAAAGUGUGGGGAGCAAACAGGAUUAGAUACCCUGGUAGUCCACACUGUAAACGAUGAAUGCUAGGUGUAGGGGGUAUCGACCCCUUCUGUGCCGCAGUCAACACAAUAAGCAUUCCGUCUGGGGAGU
rnacentral:rRNA from 1 species